AGGAACUCGAAGUGUAUGCCAAACUAUGGAUAAACACGAUCUUCAUUUCCUUUAUAGCUAACAAAGUGACGUGCUAUGGUCCUGCUGGCUCCAUUAUCAGGUUUGAAAUUCCCUUCCAGCACAAGUCAAGAAGAGUGUAAGAGAGGAUUUUAUAUAUGUAUAUGCAGAGAGAGAGAGUUCAAACUGACUUAAGAAAAGACAAGGUGUUCCUCCACAUCCCCUUCAGGGCUCUGAAGGUUCUUUUUCUCUCCCCCUCUUCCCCCUCCACCCUUAUUUAGACCACUCUUCAUUCCAUAUUCAGUGGCCCACAUCAGAGCCAUCAGCUUUCUGGCUGAGAAGGUACAGACAGGACCCCUUUUGAAGUCUCUCAACUUCAUUUCUCAGUCCGUUGAAUGAAAGAAUGAGAAGACAUAGGAUAACAUAAUGGAAUGGAACUGAGGCCAGACAGUUUCAAAGUGAUUUAAAGUCAGGAAUAGCCGACAUUUGGUGACCUUCUGGGCAUUCUGCAAAAGGCACCUUUUGACUGGAUUUUGAAGAAGACUGAGGGUAUGCUGCCUAGACAAUAAAGGAGCAGAAAGGAGUGUUGAUCAAGACAGCAACGCUGAGGAUAAGAACAAUGUGUAUCACCAGAGGGGAAAAAUAAUAAAAAAAAAAAGAAUAAGAUCAAGUGAAACCUCCUCUGUCUCUUCAUCAUGGGGCUGCUACUUUCUCUCCAUAUAUAAGAGAAUACUGUGUUUCUUGUAAUAUCUCACCUGGACUCAUUCUACCAAAAUUCAGUUUGCUUAUUUCCAGGACACACUAGAGUCAGUAACAUGCCAGGAUGUUUUACAUUGUACACUACAUUUCUGGCAGAAGAGAGAUGGGGAACAGAUAAAAUUGCUCCACAGAGUUCCCAGUUUUUUCUGGAGAAUGCUUCUGAAAACAGAAGAGGCUCUUAAGCCUGACAAGACAUUUAGUGUAAGCAAUUUGCAUCCUAUAUCCCCUAAGAAAAGGCGGAAGACAGAAAAGCUCCAACAGAUAAUAUCACAGGCAAGGUUUGUUGAUGAUACUGAACUGGAAGACUCAUUAACUAA